rnacentral:tRNA from 1 species
GAAGUAUCUAAAAACUAAAGCUUCUAACUUUAAGUUCAAGCGACAAAAUUUCGUUUAUACUUCU